AAAGGGCAAGAAGUCACGCUUCCAGGGCUGCCCAGUGGCAGAGGGAAGGCAAGAGCAGCUCAGCGCCAAGUCCCACAGAUUUAGGUGCUCCCAGGACCUGUCAGAUCCCUGAACCUCGCUGCCCGUCAUCAUCCUUCCUGACUCCUGGGGCCCUGCUCUUCCCAGAGGCAGUGCUGCAGACAGACACGUGGGAUCUUAACUUCCCCUACCAGGGAUGACUAGGGAGUGAACCCACCCACCCUGCAUUGGAAGCACAGAGUCAACCAUGGGGCCACCAGGAAAAUCCCCUCUGGUUCAGAAUCUUGACCGUUUCUUUCUAGCUGUGGGGCCCUGACAGCCCUUCUGAGUCUCCAUCCUCAUCUGUCAAACGGGGCAGUAUUGAGUGUGGUUGUAAGGAACACCCGGCUCAUAGGAAGAGCCCCAGAGAUGGGGCUGUUAGCAGCAGUUAGCCCAAACUCAGUCCGUCAGCCCAGACAGGGCCCUAGUGAUCACCUGUCUAGACCCUUGCUUUUUGCACAAACACCUGAAAGUCCAGAGGGGAGAAAUUUUCCCAGGCCAUGCAGCCAGCCAGAACCUUAAUCUCCCUCCACCCAGGCAGCUUUGCAUCAGAGCGCCCUUCCUUAUCUCCUCUCGUCCAGCAAAACUCCAAAAAUGAUGACUGGGACUUCUAAAGAAGUAAGUGAGGAUUUUAACACAUCUUUCUAAUGUCUUAAUUGAGAUUCUGGGUUGACCUUUGGGGCAGAGGGUAUACUCUGCUCAUUUGGCCCCUUGACCCUAAUACGCUGUUUGUCUCCUGUUGCUUCUGGCAUUCUUAGUACUCUGAUGCCAACUGUGUGGGCCCCUGAGUAUGUAAGAUGGAUGCCACUGGGGCCUGGGCCUGGGGUUAGGAAAGGCAGAGAGGUCAGGGAAGAGGCAUGGCUGGUUUUCCAUAUAAGCCUCUUUUGUACUCUGAAGCCACUGAACUUGUAC
ensembl:lncRNA